AACGAACGCUGGCGGCAGGCCUAACACAUGCAAGUCGAACGCCGUAGCAAUACGGAGUGGCAGACGGGUGAGUACCACGUGGGAACGUACCCUUCGGUUCGGGAUAACUCAGGGAAACUUGAGCUAAUACCGGAUACGUCCGAGAGGAGAAAGAUUUAUUGCCGAAGGAUCGGCCCGCGUCUGAUUAGCUUGUUGGUGAGGUAACGGCUCACCAAGGCGACGAUCAGUAGCUGGUCNGAGAGGAUGAUCAGCCACAUUGGGACUGAGACACGGCCCAAACUCCUACGGGAGGCAGCAGUGGGGAAUAUUGGACAAUGGGCGCAAGCCUGAUCCAGCCAUGCCGCGUGAGUGAUGAAGGCCUUAGGGUUGUAAAGCUCUUUCGUCCGGGACGAUAAUGACGGUACCGGAAGAAGAAGCCCCGGCUAACUUCGUGCCA
rnacentral:rRNA from 1 species